rnacentral:lncRNA from 1 species
CAGGCUUCAGGCUGGCCUUGAACUUGCUGCAAGGUUCCUGCCUCAGUCUCCCAGAUGCUGUGAUUGUAGGAGUGCACCACCUCGCCCAGCUCCUCAUCCCUCUUUUUAAAUGAUCCCCUUCGUCACCUCCCGACCUGCCCUUGCAGCUCCCGGACUCUACUCUCUGCUUGGUUUAGGGGCCCUUAUGCCCCACACCUCCUGCCAAAGCAGGGGACACAGUGAGUGGCCCCCAAAGUCUACCUCAUACAGAGUGUGUGUAAACCUGCCACCUGCUGCUGUUUCUUCAAAGAUAGGGAUGAUUCCAUAUCUACCCCAUGUGAGAAGCAAGUU